GAAAAGUUAUCUAAGUGUAUUGAUGACAGCUUUCCUAACAAUAAGCCCGGACCAGAAAGAUGGGCAGUCAUUUGUAAAACACCAGAAUUCAUAACGAAGGUGCUUAAAUGCUGGGCUGAUACUGAAAUUGCUGAAGAGUACAGGAAGAAUUAUAAAGAUUACAUCGCGUGCAUGGCUGAAGUGGAGGAUAAAAAUUGCGCUGGUGUUUAAGAAGAAACAUCUAUAGCUGAUAAAAAUUUGGACGCUGAGAAAAAGUGGUUUUAAAUUACCUAACAUAUAUGUAAUAAUUAUUUUCAUUUUGCA